GAAGAGACUAGCUCAAGGUCUCUGUUUUAAUUGCAAUGACAAGUUUACUGUGAGUCAUAAAUGUCGAAACCCACAACUUUUGCUGCUAGAAGGAAGUGACAUCGGUAUCAAGUUUGAAGAGGAUCUUGAUGACGUGACAGAAGAGCCCAUAACUGAUCUCUAACCUGAACCAGAGAUAUCACCUCAUAAUGUCCGAUUCUAGCCAUGACUUUCAUGGUACUAGAAGUUGACAGUGGUUCCACCCACAACUUUAUUAGUGAGAAGAUAGCUAAUUUAUUAAAAUUAUAUGUGGUUCCAACCGUGCCAUUCAAUAUGAAAGUAGCUAAUGGGAAUCCAUUGAAGUGCCAAGGAAGAUUUAAGCAUGUGCAGGUUUUAUUUCAGGGUAUCCCCUUUCUCUAUUAGUCUCUAUUCAUUUCCACUAAUCAGGCUAGACUUGGUCUUUGGCGUACAAUGGUUGGAGCAAUUGGGGACAGUAGUAGAGUUCCAAUGGAAAAACAAAGCUCAAAAGCUACAAGGAACCGAUGUAACGCGUAUUCAAUCCACAUCCUUGAAGGCAAUUUCGAAGGAAUUACAAGAAGGAAAUUCUAUGUUUGCUAUUUGCCUACAGAAUGCAGCACGUGAAUCACAACAUGAUGUACAUCCAGAUAUGCAAAACCUGAUGAAAGCCUAUGAGGACAUUUUUCAAGAGCUGAAGCAAUUACUUCCAGCAAGAGAAAUUGACCACCGCAUCAUUCUGAAAGAUGGAACCGAGACUAUCAACUUGGGACCCUUCCAAGUCUGCGUAUUUUCAAAAAGUCGAAAUUGAAAAACAAGUUCAGGACAUGUUAAAAUUGGGGCUUAUAAAAUC
rnacentral:lncRNA from 1 species